UAUAUCUAUGUGUUUAGUUUUGUUUUGUCUGAUUUUAGUUUUUGACUUUUCUUUUGCAGGUCCAGAUUGUCCAGGAUUUUAAAUUUGUCCGGUGGGAUUUGGGAAGGAAAGCGAUGCCAUGGAUUUAUAAGAAGCAUCGUUGGGGAGGUUCGUGUAUGUCGGGAUAUUUUCAUUAUACCACUACUAUUAUAAAGAGGUCGAAUUUGAGGGUCACCAUUUUGGCCUUUUGCCGGGCCGGCAGCGCCACACCCAGAAUUCAGAAGGGCGAGGGGGCAUUCCGACAUGGAAACGGCAUCAAAACAUUAUACGUUUUUAAUGUUUUAAGUGCCAAAAACAUCGUAUUCUGUUGCGUCUAGUAGGGAUAUUGUAGUUGCUACCGGGAAAAAAGUUGAAUUCAGGGGUCACGAUUUUGACCUUUUGCCGGGUCGGCAGCGCCGCACCAAGGGUCAAUAAAAUCGAGGGUGCUUCUUGACAUGGGGACGGCAUCGAAAAUUUUGUGCAUUUUUAUAUAUAUUAUUAUAUAUUACACUGUUAUGUGUUUUGAUUAAAUUAUUACAAUCUUUAACGGAGAUUUCGUCAAUAUUGCAUUUCUGAGGGAAAAAAGUCAGUUUUAGAGGUUUCUAUUUCGACCUUUUGCCGGGUCGGCGGCACCACUCCUAUGGUCUGUAAAAACGUGGGGGAAUCCCAAUAAGGAAACUGCGUCAAAACAUUGCCUGUUUUUUGUGUUCUUAGUGUCAAAAAGUUGGUUUGUCCAUUACGCCAAGUCGGGUCGUCUUUUGUCAUCGAGUACAGCUUUCGGGGAGAUUGCCGCUGAUUGUUUCAGGACCUUACAAAGGAUCUACAGCAAAAGGAUCUGCGGCAAAAGGUUCAGAUAAGUGACGUUGUGCAUACGCUGCUGCAAUAAGUCGACUUAGUUUCGUCAUGUUUUUGCCGCACGUAGGUCCUUCGCGUGUCCGUCUGCUUCUAGAUACAUCUUUGCUAGUCUUGUUAGGUGACAUCCUUCAUAUGCGCUUCGUCGGAAUCAGCAGGGAUGAGUCGUCGAGGGGGUACUUCGUCCGUGUUUCGCAGGUCAUUAGGAUAGAGAUGAGGGCACUUUGCUGUCGCUUGGGUAUUAUUGUUUCAGUGAAAUAGCCCGCAUCCAUAGCUUUAUUGUAGAUUUUGAGUAAUGAACAUGUCUUGAUUGAUAACUUGUAAUGUGUGUUAACUGCUUUGACAGGCUUUUCCUUUGGUUUUAAGCCCAAAUACCAGAGGAUAUACCCUCAAUUUAGUUUUUUUUUUUUUUUUUUUUUAGAAUAAAGAGCAGUUAAGCAUUUCAAAUACGUAAUAUUCAGCCAUAAAUUGCUGCAAUAAGUCGACUUAGUUUCGUCAUGUUUUUGCCGCACGUUGAUCCUUCGCGUGUCCGUCUGCUUCUGGGUACAUCUUUGCUAGUCUUAUUAGGUGACGUCCUUCAUAUGCGCUUCGUCGGGGUCAGCAGGGAUGAGUCGUCGAGGGGGUACUUCGUCCGUGUUUCGCAGUUUAUUAGGAUAGAGAUGAAGACACUUUGCUGUCGCUUGGGUAUUAUUGUUUCAGUGAAAAAGCCCGCAUCCAUAGCUUUAAUGUAGAUUUUAAAUAAUGAACAUGUCUUGAUUGAAAACUUGUGAUGUGUGUUAACUGCUUUGACAGGCUUUUCCUUUGGUUUUAAGCUUAAAUACCA